AGGGUUCGAUUCUGGCUCAGGAUGAACGCUGGCGGCGUGCUUAACACAUGCAAGUCGAACGGAGUUAAAUGAAACCUAGUGAUUUAAACUAGUGGCGGACGGGUGAGUAACGCGUGGGUAACCUGCCUUAUACCGGGGGACAACAGUUAGAAAUGACUGCUAAUACCGCAUAAGCGCACGGUGUCGCAUGACACAGUGUGAAAAACUCCGGUGGUAUAAGAUGGACCCGCGUCUGAUUAGCCAGUUGGUGAGGUAACGGCCCACCAAAGCAACGAUCAGUAGCCGGCCUGAGAGGGUGAACGGCCACAUUGGGACUGAGACACGGCCCAAACUCCUACGGGAGGCAGCAGUGGGGAAUAUUGGACAAUGGGGGAAACCCUGAUCCAAGCGACGCCGCGUGAGUGAAGAAGUAUUUCGGUAUGUAAAGCUCUAUCAGCAAGGAAGAUAAUGACGGUACUUGACUAAGAAGCCCCGGCUAACUACGUGCCAGCCGCCGC
rnacentral:rRNA from 1 species